UUCAUGAGAAGUUUGUGAAUGUCAGCCAGCUCAGGUACACAGCUGCUCUUAAACACAUUAGUCUAGUCACCUGACAUACCGCAUCCUCAGGUCCCCUUCUGUCACCCAGCAGACAUGAAAACAUGUACUGUGUGGUGUCAAAUCCAAUAACACAUCUCUGCCGCAUGCCUAUAAAACUGGAAUGUUUUUCUUAUGUUGUAAACCAAUCAGCUGUCAGAUGGUCCAGAGCGCCAAUUGGUCAAAAGUGAUCAGAAUGGUGGAGUGAGAUGCUUAGAAGGAGGGAUUUGCAUUGUUUAGGACAGCCCCCCGUCCCAAGUCAGCCAUACCCCCUUUAAUUGUUUUUGCACGCUAGAGAGACCGAGUUUAUUCUGGCAGGGCAGAGACUGCAGCCUCACUCCUGUGAAGUACCAACUAGUGUGGAUGGAGCACGACAUCUCUCUCCGUCCCUCCCUCGCGUGCCAAGUCAGACUGACUUUAUCUCCAUUCACCGGGUCUGACUUUAUUUUGUCCUCAGCAUCUGGAGUGACUGACUGAGAGGAAAAAGGAAGAAGCAGGUUCUUCAGCCUCGGAGGAAGAGAGCGGGGCUUCCCAAAACAGUGCGUCACCAGAGACCAGUACUGACUGCCUGGACAAGACGCCCAGAAGACAGCCACCAUGUGUGACUGUUUUCACCUGCCAUUUCCCAACUGGCAUGCAUCAGCCGCGGCACAAUAGCAUUAGGAGCUUGAACCACAGCCCUGAAACAGGGUUGUGCCAUACCUUUAGAAGUCUACAGAAAGGGCAGGGCCCUUCAUCUUCUCCACAAAAACUAACAAUUACCCACAAACAGUCCUGUCAGUGCAUGCUGUGCACUUGGUAAAUUACUAUCUGGAAAACAGUGAAACACAUAUUUCUGCAAGUAAACCACAGAUCAGGUAAGUGCAAACCUUUAAUGUUUACCUGGCACUCUUUGCAUCAUUGUUAUUAAAAUGCAGCAACAUGUUGGACAUACAAAGCAUUUUUUAUAUAUAUAAUUCAGCUUAACUAGGCUACUUUCAUAUUGACACUUAGAUUCUUUUUCAGUAGUAAUACUGAAUGAAAAAAACAAUGUUUUAAAAGCAAUAAGUUGUGCAUAGUAUAGUAUGUUUCCUGAAUAUUCAGUCACAAGCUAAAACUGUUUUUACAGAGCUCACAUAUUUAAUUUGUAAUCCUAAUAGAAAUAUAUGAAGUAUAGGAGCCUAGAUAUGGCUGCAAAUUGGUUUAUUGAUUUUAUUUUAAAUAACUUAUGAUGGACAAUGGUCUUUCAAGAAUUUAAUGCAUUUUAUUCAGUAAUUAUUACAUAUACCAACCAACAAACAUCCUCAUUAUACCUGACAGGGGUGGGAAGCCUGAAAGCAUUUAAGAAAAAAAAAACUUGAAGAAAGAACGGCCUGUUGUUUAGGCCUGUUCCAUUCACUGUGUUGGUUUUGGACAGAUAUUAUAAAGCUUUAUAGCAACUAAAAAAAAAAAAAAACAUCUUAAGCCUGUUUAGCUACAAUAGCAGCCAGAAAACACACCUUGUUGAAACCUGUUGAUUUGAACCACAACCUCAAACAUCAAACAUUAAAACCACAGCUAUGUCAUUCUUCUGCUUGUUUAUCAUACAUGUAUAUGUUAAAACCAAAACUCUCAGUUAAUCUCAGUCAGAAACAAAGUGUUACACUCACCUCUGAUCUCUCCUAUGCACAUCAGUUUACAUCAGGUUAUUCAAACCACUGGUUUUGUCAGCAUCCCUGAGUGAAGGAACACAGUAUGUGAUGUGUUUAAUUAACAGCUUUUCUUGCUCUUGUUUAUCAGUUGAGCUUAUUUGUUUCUGACUGUACCAUCCAGUUAUUAUCCAGGUGCUGAGUUUGAAAUUCACUCAGCGAAAGUGGUUCUAAACCCCUUUCAAGUUCAGUAUUGCUUUACCUGUGGUUAAAAGCAGAGUUUAAACAGCCUAAUUGAGGUCAACACAAAACUUGUGUAAUAUUGUUUUUAAUUUUUUAGUUUGGAGGUGUGCCAUGGAAAACGUCAAUUCUGGCAUCAGCAUAAUGACAAAAUGAUAGAUGAUUGACAUAUAAAUCACCAGAAAACCACUGAGUUGAAUUGUUCUCAAAGCCUUCAACAUCAACAAAAGAUAUGGGAAGAGUUUUCUACUCCCUUUAAUAAAUCUGUUUACUUUGCUUAAUAUCUUAACUGUGGAUAAUGCACAUUUAGCAUUGCUUUUCCCAACUGUUUAUACAUUGGUGCAUUCGCAAGUUUAGUGUCAGAUCAUUAGACACUGUGAAAAGAUGGUGCUGGUGUAAUACUGUUUAUGUGCAACAUGACAUACAUACACAUAAAUCUCUAGUGUGCUUCAAUGCCAUCUAGACCUGAUGCCUGGAUAAGUGCUUUAAAGAAAGUGCAGGUUAAUGGCCAGGG
ensembl:lncRNA